UGGGGAAUAUUGGGCAAUGGGGCGAAAGCCUGACCCAGCAACGCCGCGUGAGGGAAGAAGGUUUUCGGAUUGUAAACCUCUGUCCUUGGUGACGAAGGAAGUGACGGUAGCCAAGGAGGAAGCCCCGGCUAACUACGUGCCAGCAGCCGCGGUAAUACGUAGGGGGCGAGCGUUGUCCGGAAUGACUGGGCGUAAAGGGCGUGUAGGCGGCGGAUUAAGUCUGGAGUGAAAGUCCUGCUUUCAAGGUGGGAAUUGCUUUGGAUACUGGUCGGCUUGAGUGCGGAAGAGGUAAGUGGAAUUCCCAGUGUAGCGGUGAAAUGCGUAGAGAUUGGGAGGAACACCAGUGGCGAAGGCGACUUACUGGGCCGUAACUGACGCUGAGGCGCGAAAGCGUGGGGAGCGAACAGGAUUAGAUACCCUGGUAGU
rnacentral:rRNA from 1 species